AUUCAGUUUCCAAAUAGAUAAGACGGGAGAUAAACUUUAGAAAGAAUAGAGAUAUUUGGGAGCAUGUGAAAGUCCAGGGGACAUUUGGCAAGUUGUACGAGGGUGGAUGCUAAUUUGCUAAGCCCAUGUUUUGUGUCUAAAAUUUAGGAUAAGGAAUCCCCAAUCUAAUGCCAAUCCCAUUUUUGUAAGUGUGUUUUCAGACGGAAUUAACAUUCAUUCUGGUCCGGGAAGGGAAAACAGGAUCCAUGAGCAGUGUGCAGUGUACAAUGUCAAAAAGUGGCGUCUCUGAGUUUGUCAGCGCAAUUUCAUUGUUUAUUUAAAAAAGAAAAAUUGGAAUUUCAUUGAAAACUAUUGUAAAAAAUUAUAAAUUAUAGUGAAAUGAAAGGUGGAGGAGAGCAGAGAAAGACAAGUUUGAAAA